GAUGAACGCUAGCGGGAGGCUUAAUACAUGCAAGUCGAGGGAGAAAUUGUUUUUCGGAAUAAUGGAAACCGGCGCACGGGUGAGUAACGCGUACACUACCUACCUCAUACUGGGGAAUAGCCUUUGGAAACGAAGAGUAAUACCCCAUAGUCCCGCAAGGGUAAAGCUCCGGCGGUAUGAGAUGGGUGUGCGUCUGAUUAGCUUGUUGGUGAGGUAAAGGCUCACCAAGGCGACGAUCAGUAGGGGGCGUGAGAGAGUGAUCCCCCACACGGGUACUGAGACACGGACCCGACUCCUACGGGAGGCAGCAGUAAGGAAUAUUGGACAAUGGGCAAAGCCUGAUCCAGCCAUCCCGCGUGAAGGAUGAAUGCCCUAUGGGUUGUAAACUUCUUUUGCUUGGAAAGAAACGCUCCGAUUUAUCGGAGCCUGACGGUACCUAGCGAAUAAGCACCGGCUAACUCCGUGCCAGCCGCCGCGGUAAU
rnacentral:rRNA from 1 species